ensembl:snRNA U6 U6 spliceosomal RNA
GUGCUCACCUUGGCAAUGGGUAUUAAAACUGGAAUGACACAGAGAAGAUUAACAUAGCCCUUGAGCAAGGAUAACAUGCAAAGUAAUGAAAUGUUUCAUUUUUUU